UACGAAGGGGGCUAGCGUUGCUCGGAAUUACUGGGCGUAAAGCGCACGUAGGCGGUUUCUUAAGUCGGUGGUGAAAUCCUGGAGCUCAACUCCAGAACUGCCUUCGAUACUGGGAAACUUGAGUCCGGGAGAGGUGAGUGGAACUGCGAGUGUAGAGGUGAAAUUCGUGGAUAUUCGCAAGAACACCAGUGGCGAAGGCGGCUCACUGGCCCGGUACUGACGCUGAGGUGCGAAAGCGUGGGGAGCAAACAGG
rnacentral:rRNA from 1 species